GGGUAUAGCUUAGUGGUGGAGCUUGUGCUUAGUGUACACAAGGUCCUGGGUUCAAUCCCCAGUACUUCCA
rnacentral:tRNA from 1 species